CCGAGCCCCCACGUCGAUGCUGUCACACACUCCACACCCCCACCCUGUGACCGGGGCAGGAGUGGGAACGCCCGGGGUUGCAAAACAAACCGCUUAGGUGUCCUGGCAACACGGGGCACAUGCGCCUCUCCAGUAUAAGACCCACCACGAACCACCUGCCGCUACUCAGGGCAAGACUGAGACGGGGCGGAGACGGUCAUCCCUACUGAUUCUAGAGGACCAGGGUUCGAUUCCCGGCACCAACAUGGUGGAUCACAGUCAUCUGCAAUUCCAGUUCCUCAGGACCAGACGCCCUCUUCAUCCCUGCUGGGCAAGGCAUGCGUGCGAUGCAUCUCCCGAACCCCUACAUAAGUCUUUUAAAUAGAAUAGGUACCCGGACCCUGGAUUUGGGGAGAGAACAUGGUGUGUUCUCUCUCACAUUCUUUCUCGCCUCUUCAUUACUCUGAAGUCAUCGGAAAAUGUAUGUAAAUGCAUCACGUGCAUGCAGUACCCCAGGUGGUCAGAAGAGGGCGUGCGAUCUCCCGCCAUUGGAGUUACAAAUGGUUGUAAUGCCUGAAUGCCGGUGGGUGCUGGAGGGGAAGCUUCGUUGUCAGGACACCUACGCGGUUUGUUUUCCAACCCCUGACUCUGGAAAAACCAGCAUCCUAGCUACUCGGGAGGCUGAGGCAAGAGGACGGACUGGCCAAGGUCGGCUUGGAUUACACAGUUCCGGAAAAGAUGCAUAUGAUCACCCAGAAAAGCGGGCGUCCUGCUGGACUGUCCCCACGUAUGAGGCCAGCGGUUCUGAGCACGGGAUGGAAAAGGACUGGGUCAAGGUCACCACCAGUUUAUGGAAAGAAUUGCGAGAAGGAUCCACAGCCCAGCGUGUCUGCUGUGUGGCGCACAGAACUUUGUAAAAGUAAACGCCAAUACUGUAAAUAAAUAUUUACAUCUUCCGAAGGAAAACAACAAGAUAGGCUGAACAGUAAAGGCUGAAGUUAAGUAGAGGCCAAGCCAGUCGGACCGACCGGAAGAUAGGCAGCCGGCUGAAGCGGCGGGGAUGAGUAAACACAGUGCGGGGGGACAUUUAAAUGGAACCAGUUGGAAUCGUGUAAACUGGGACAGACUCCACCCGGGGCCUCCCCGGCACACAAAACCGCACGUCCAAACGAUUGGUCUUAGUCUCUUGACAAGUGCGGUUCACUCCACCGACCCCGACCCCCCAACCCCCACCCCAAGGUUGCGAGAAAGGCUGAGGUAAUCUGAAGAUUGGCUUGGAGGUGGCCCUUAAGGGUCAAAGGGAAGUGUGGCGGGUGGGCAACCAGGACGGAUCCCAGAGAGAAGCUCCGAGCCCAGGACAAAGACGACCCUGGAAGUUGCAACCACGUCCCGCUUCCUCAACAAGAUUGAAGGGGCUCUGCAGGGUCCAGACCCUGUAAGCACACUUCGCCCAGAUUUCCCACACAACUCCGGUGGAUGCCCCCAACGGUCCUCACCACCUCCGAGCGACUCUCAGGCUCUGCGAUUCUUUUUUUUUUU
rnacentral:sRNA from 1 species